UACAGAGGGGGCAAGCGUUGUUCGGAAUUACUGGGCGUAAAGGGCGCGUAGGCGGCCGCCUAAGUCAGACGUGAAAUCCCUCGGCUCAACCGGGGAACUGCGUCUGAUACUGGGUGGCUUGAAUCCGGGAGAGGGAUGCGGAAUUCCAGGUGUAGCGGUGAAAUGCGUAGAUACCUGGAGGAACACCGGUGGCGAAGGCGGCAUCCUGGGACCGGUAUUGACGCUGAGGCGCGAAAGCCAGGGGAGCAAAGCGGGG
rnacentral:rRNA from 1 species